GGGAAUUUGAGACCAGCCUUGGGUACACAGUGAGUACUGGUUCAGGCAGGGCUAUGCAACAAAACCCGGUCUUAAAACAAACAAAAACCAGGGGAAACAAAACACUAGCAUUGUGUGUGUGUUGGUAACACUAGCAUGUGAGAGGCAGAGGCAGAAGGACAGGAAUUCAAGGCCAAUCUCAGUUAUAAAGCAAGUUUGAGGACAGCCUGGGCCUCAAGAGUUUCCUUUUUUUUCUUUUUCUUUUCUUUUCUUUUCUUUUCUUUUUUUUUUUUUUUUUUUUUUUGUGUGUGGCUUUUUUGGAGACAGGGCUUCUCUGUAUAGCCCUGGCUGUCCUGGAACUCACUCUGUAGACCAGGCUGGCCUGGAACUCAGAAAUCUGCCUGCCUCUGCCUCCCAAGUGCUGGGAUUAAAGGCGUGCACCACCACACCCGGCUAAGAGGUUUCUUUUUAAGAAACACACACACAGACACACACACACACAGAGAACAACAGAACCCCAAAACAAACAAAAAGGGAAAAAAAGUAUUUGCAUUUUAUACUUCUGUCUUUCUAAAAGCCAUCAUUCCUUGAUUUCACAACUCACUGUCAGUCUACAGAACAACAAGCGUUUACUCUGAUAUGAUCUGACUUUUUCUGCCACGGGUCACACUGAAACCUAACUGCCUCUGUAACCAUAGUAAAAGGGGACCCCUAGAAGGUGUCUGUCACCAGGACUCUAACUUCAGGGACGGAUUAAGGCCAUCAUCCCCAGAGUGGAUUGGUUGUCUUGGGAAUGGGUUCCUGAUAAAAAUGGCAUGGGUGUGACUUGAUAUUUAUCCUGAUGCCCUUUUCUGGUCCCUCCGACUCUGCAUGUCACAGUGUGCAAACAUUCAUGUGAGCAAAACACUCACACAUAUAAAAUACAUAAUUUUUUAAAAAGGAGGCUGGAGAGAUGGCUUAGCAGGCAUGAGCACUUGUGCCUCGUACAGAAGACUGGUAUUUACUUUCCCAACACACACAUAGGGUAGCUCACAACUGUCUGUAGUUCCACAGGACUUGAUGACAUCUUCUGGCCUCAGAGGGACACGGUGCACACAUGGACAAGCAGACACAUACAUAUACACACUUAAAAACUGUGAAAGCCUCUAAAAUUUCAUAAAGUAGAUAAAAAAUAAAAAUCAUAAAUAAGGGCAGGGUGGCACUGAAGUGACAAAUGUCAAAAUGUAGCUAUGUAGCGGAGUAACGGAAAAUGGAAAUGUCAUUUUUUUCUGCAAUGUAUUAUAGACUAAAAAAGUAAUUAACAUUUUUUUUUACAGUUCUGUCACAGGAUGACUUUUUACAAGCAAGCUUUUCACUUUUAAUUGGGCUGUCACCGUGUCGCAUUCGAUAAACUAAUUAUAAUGAGAAGCAAGACCGGGAUUGGGGUGGUGCGUGACAAGUUACAACUAAAAUUGCAAUCCCUUCCCGAAGCAGUCAGAGCUAAUGGCAGGUGAGUUCUUCAACUGAACUCAUGGAAUUUCAGGCCGGUAGAGGGCGCUCUCGAGACCAUGAGGCUGCAGAGCUGAAGAGAAGGGCAGCAAGCGAAACAACUGGACAGUGAACCCCAGCUAGCUUCAUGUUGUGUUAGUGGGUAGGGGGUGGGAUAAGAGGAUAAAGUCUCCAAUGGGUCAGGGCAGUGCUUGGCGGCUUUUGCCACGACGGUCUUGGCCAGUUGGUAUUAUGGUCCGAAACGACCCCAUUUUACAGAUAAGACAACUGAGACAUCCUAUGUUUGUGUCUGACAGGGUCUCACUUAGCUCAGACUUGGAGGAUGACCUUGAACUCACCGUCCCACCCCCACGGCGAGGAAGGGUGUUGAAUUACAGUGCUGGAUUUAGGCAGUGCUGGGGGAAUUGAACUCAAAACCUUAUGAAUGCUAGGCAAGCACCCUCCGUUGGUAGGUGAAAGUGAGCCCGCUGCUUAAUGAGUGCCCUGUGAAGUCCCAAUAUAAACAAACGUAUGGUCAGUCUCAAUUUCUUCUUCGCACUGCUCUCCCGCUUUCCCUUUUCCCCUCUCUCCAUUGACAAGGCAAAGGGAGUCUAAUUCCUUAUAAGCAUCCCCCAGCCAUCCUUGCUAACGAGCCUAAGCCUGAACCAACUUUUCCGCAGGAAGAAAGGGCUUAAUUGGUAAGCAGAGUUGAGCUCAUAAAACCUCCUCAAGCCGUGGCAGAUUCUGCCCGUUAAUGGCUGUGCUGGGUCCUCACUGUCCCCCUUUCCUCUUUGGAGAUGCUGGAUCCGAGCGGCUCCCGGGGGCUCAGCAUUCGUUGUCCUGGUCCAGCUGUGCAUGAUGCCGCACCCUCCGAUCCUCCAUCCCCAACAGGGGACCCGGGCACAGACAUCCUCUCCCUCGGAGGUCACUAACUGUAGCCCCAUCACUGCCUACUUCAAGCAAUGAACUGGGGGCCUCCAUAGCACCCGAGCGCGAGGCCGGGCGCGGGGGCGACGCGCGCUCUGUUGCCCUGGGGGCGCGCGCUACCCUGGACCGCGCGCAUCCCCGCCCGCAGCUCAGGGACAAGGGAGCACCGCCGCCCUGCCCAGGCCCCUCUCUUGUCAUACCCUGUCCCUGGCUCUCAGCUCGCAAGGGUCCCAGGAAGAACCGCAACCACCAGUAUCGACCGGUAUCCACCAGUAUCCGCCGGCUCGGAGAUGCUCCAACCCUGCGGUAGCCCCCGGCCGCCACUCAAUACAGCCCAGGGUACUCACUGCACGCAGCCCGAGAGGCUAAGAUCUCACUCGGCUCCCAGUCUCGACCUGUGAACUUGCAGGUCCGCUCGGAGAACCCAGGGUCGCUGGGCAUGGGGAUUGGUGCCAAUGUCGACCUGCAUCCUGCAGAUGCGGCGCUGGGGGUUCGGCUCUUCGCCUCGUUUCCUGCGCUCCGUGCAGGGGCUCCCGGACUCGCCCUCUGUUCACUAUCUGUCCAGGUGAACCUUCUGGAGCCUAAGGCUCGAUGCUUCCGUCCCAGAGCCUUUAAAAAGGGUGCGUUUGGAAGGAUCCGAGCCUACCCAGAGCUUCCUUCCAAUCCGUGCAAUUUCAGAUCUCCGCGUUGGUAUAUUCCUAUACCGGCUAAUUCUGGUUUGUCAGGGGGAAAAAAAUCUGCGGGCUCCUCACAGGCACACUCUUGUGGCCGGUUGAAGUUUAUCGCCUUGGCUGAGAUUCAUCAAUGCUGUGCAUAUUUGCUACCAUAGGAAAUGUCCCGAAAUCUAAGUUCUGGCAGCCAGAACCUGAAACGGGCCUCCCUGGACUAAAAUUCAGCGCGUUGGCACACUGAAGGCUGUGUUCCUCCUGGCAGCUCUAGCUGAGCCACCAGCUUCUGCAGGCUGCCCACACGCCUUGGCUGGCGGCCACUUCCUCAUCUUCAAAACCAUCGACAUUGCAUCAUUCUGAGUGUCUUGGGUACUCAGGACACACUUUCUCUGUUGUUUGUUUUUCUCUUCCUUUUAAACUUAAAUUCUUUUAAACACGUA